rnacentral:misc_RNA from 1 species
CUCACUGCAGCAAUGCGAUCUGCUCCGUGUCGACGACGGCUGGGCAACUGGACGGGAGGCGACUGGAGCUAAAUGUAGGCAGACAAUGGUCGGUGGGACUGGCCCGAGUGCUAAGCAUUCUCGGGGCGGGCUCUGCUGGCCACGACUGUAACAUGUCUAUUUAUUUAUUUAC